AUUUAAAUAGUUUAACAUAAAAUAUUAAUUUGUGAAAUUAAAGAUAAAUAAAAAAAUUUUUAAAUU
rnacentral:tRNA from 1 species